GACGAACGCUGGCGGCGUGCUUAACACAUGCAAGUCGAACGGUGAAGCGCCUUCCUUUUUGGUGGGUGUGGAUGAGUGGCGAACGGGUGAGUAACACGUGAGUAACCUGCCCCCUUCUUCUGGAUAACCGCAUGAAAGUGUGGCUAAUACGGGAUAUUCUGGGUCUGUCGCAUGAUGGGUCUGGGACAGAUAUUGUUUCGGUGGGGGAUGGGCUCGCGGCCUAUCAGCUUGUUGGUGGGGUGAUGGCCUACCAAGGCGGUGACGGGUAGCCGGCCUGAGAGGGUGGACGGUCACACUGGGACUGAGACACGGACCAGACUCCUACGGGAGGCAGCAGUGGGGAAUAUUGCACGAUGGGCGCAAGGCUGAUGCAGCGACGCCGCGUGAGGGAUGGAGGCCUUCGGGUUGUGAACCUCUUUCGCCAGUGAAGCAGGCCUGCCUCGUUUGUGGGUGGGUUGACGGUAGCUGGAGAAGAAGCGCCGGCUAACUACGUG
rnacentral:rRNA from 1 species